GAGCGUGAUCAGCCUGGAAAGGCUACUCAGCUCCGCCCUCCCGGGGUAUGUCUACACGCCAGCUCCGCCCUCGCGGAGUAUGUCUACAUGCCAGCUCUGCCCUCCCGGGAUAUAUCCGCUCCGCAGCUAAACGCCAGCUCUGCCCUCCUGGGGUACGUCUGCUCUGCAGCUAAACGCCAGCUCUGCCCUCCCGGGACGCACGGAUGCUGAACAGAUCAGUGGAGGUCUCAUCUGUUUUAGAGACAACAGCUACAGUUGCAGAGCUACAACCACCACCACAGCAGCCAGGGCUACAGCUUUGAAAACGGGAAAACUGAGGCAUGGAUGAUGUGGACAGUGAAUAAAAAUCACCAGAUGCUGCAGGCAUUCACUGACCAGUUGCACACAGUGGAACAGCAUUUCUUGGCCCGUGAAUCAAGCUGCGAGCGGUGGAACCUGAUCAUGAUGCCAAUCUGGGAUCAACAGCAAUGGCCGUGGAACUUUCAGAUGCAGAAAGC